rnacentral:rRNA from 1 species
UACGUAGGGUGCGAGCGUUAAUCGGAAUACUGGGCGUAAAGCGUGCGCAGGCGGUUCGUUGUGUCGGCGGUGAAAGCCCCGGGCUUAACCUGGGAAUGGCCGUCGAAACUGGCGAACUGGAGUGUGGCAGAGGGGGGUGGAAUUCCGCGUGUAGCAGUGAAAUGCGCAGAUAUCAGGAGGAACACCAAUGGCGAAGGCAGCUCGCUGGGACGGUACUGACGCUGAGACGCGAAAGCGUGGGGAGCAAACAGG